AGACAGUAGAGAGGAGACAGGAGACAGGAGACAGUAGAGAGGAGACAGGAGACAGUAGAGAGGAGACAGGAGACAGUAGAGAGGAGAGAGUAGAGAGGAGACAGGAGACAGUAGAGAGGAGACAGGAGACAGCAGAGAGGAGACAGCAGAGAGGAGACAGCAGACAGGAGACACUAGAGAGGAGACAGGAGGCAGCAGACAGGAGACAGUAGAGAGGAGACAGGAGGCAGCAGACAGGAGACAGUAGAGAGGAGACAGGAGGCAGCAGACAGGAGACAGUAGAGAGGAGACAGCAGACAGUAGAGAGGAGACAGGAGAGAGGAGACAGCAGGCGGCAGAGAGGAGACAGCAGACAGGAGACAGGAUACAGUAGAUAGGAGACAGCAGAGAGGAGAAAGGAGUCAGCAGGCAACAGAGAGGAGACAGUAGGCAGGAGAGAGGAGACAGGAAACAGCAGACAGGAGACAGCAGAGAGGAGACAGCAGGCAGCAGAGAGGAGACAUGAUACAGUAGAUAGGAGACAGCAGGCAGCAGAGAGGAGACAGGAUACAGUAGAUAGGAGACAGCAGAGAGGAGAGAGCAGAGAGGAGACAGCAGAGAGGAGACAGGAGGCCGCAGAGAGGAGGCAGGAGACAGCAGAGAGGAGACAGCAGGCAGCACAGCGGAGACAGGAGACAGCAGAGGAGACAGGAGCCAGCAGAGGAGACAGCAGGCAGCAGAGGAGACAGUAGGCAGCAGAGGAGACAGGAGACAGCAGAGAGGAGACGGGAGCCAGCAGAUGAGACAGCAGGCAGCAGAGGAGACAGCAGGCAGCACAGAGGAGACAGGAGACAGCAGAGGGGAAACAGCAGAUGAGACAGCAGGCAGCAGAGGAGACAGGAGACAGCAGAGAGGAGACAGCAGGCAGCACAGAGGAGACAGCAGAGAGGAGACAGCAGGCAGCAGAGAGGAGACAGGAGACCGCAGAGAGGAGACAGGAGACCGCAGAGAGGAGACAGCAGGCAGCACAGAGGAGACAGCAGGCAGCACAGAGGAGACAGGAGACAGCGGGCAGCAGAGAGGAGACAGGACACAGCACAGAGGAGACAGCAGGCAGCAGAGAAGAGACAGUAGAGGAGACAGGAGACCGCAGAGAGGAGACAGCAGGCAGCACAGAGGAGACAGCAGGCAGCACAGAGGAGACAGGAGACAGCGGGCAGCAGAGAGGAGACAGGACACAGCACAGAGGAGACAGGAGACAGCAGGCAGCAUAGAGGAGACAGCAGAGAGGAGACAGCAGGCAGCAGGCAGCAGAAACAGGAGACAGCAGGCAGCAGAGAGGAGACAGGACACAGCACAGAGGAGACAGGAGACAGCAGGCAGCAUAGAGGGGACAGGAGACAGCAGGCAGCAGAGAGAGGAGACAGGAGACAGCACAGAGGAGACAGGAGACAGCAGGCAGCAGAAACAGGAGACAGCAGGCAGCAGAGAGGAGACAGGACACAGCACAGAGGAGACAGGAGACAGCAGGCAGCAUAGAGGAGACAGGAGACAGCACAGAGGAGACAGGAGACAGCAGGCAGCAGAAACAGGAGACAGCAGGCAGCAGAGAGGAGACAGGACACAGCACAGAGGAGACAGGAGACAGCAGGCAGCAUAGAGGAGACAGGAGACAGCACAGAGGAGACAGGAGACAGCAGGCAGCAGAAACAGGAGACAGCAGGCAGCAGAGAGGAGACAGAAGACUGAAAUCUUCCAGCCCAGCCCUCCCAAAGGUUUCUGGGAAAACAACUAGGGAGGUCUAAAAAUGUGCCUGAUGCAUUAGCCAAGACCUAGAUCCAUUAUAAUUAAAGUAUUGCGCAGACAGAACCC
ensembl:lncRNA